UACAGAGGGUGCAAGCGUUGUUCGGAAUUACUGGGCGUAAAGCGCGUGUAGGCUGCGGAGUAAGUCGGAUGUGAAAUCCCUUGGCUUAACCAAGGAAGUGCAUCCGAUACUGUUUCGCUUGAGUGUCGGAGGGGAUGGCGGAAUUCCCGGUGUAGAGGUGAAAUUCGUAGAUAUCGGGAGGAACACCUGUGGCGAAGGCGGCCAUCUGGAUGACAACUGACGCUGAGACGCGAAAGCGUGGGUAGCGAACAGG
rnacentral:rRNA from 1 species